rnacentral:rRNA from 1 species
AGUGAACGCUGGCGGUAGGCCUAACACAUGCAAGUCGAACGGCAGCACAGUAAGAGCUUGCUCUUACGGGUGGCGAGUGGCGGACGGGUGAGGAAUACAUCGGAAUCUACUUUUUCGUGGGGGAUAACGUAGGGAAACUUACGCUAAUACCGCAUACGACCUACGGGUGAAAGCAGGGGAUCUUCGGACCUUGCGCGAUUGAAUGAGCCGAUGUCGGAUUAGCUAGUUGGCGGGGUAAAGGCCCACCAAGGCGACGAUCCGUAGCUGGUCUGAGAGGAUGAUCAGCCACACUGGAACUGAGACACGGUCCAGACUUCUACGGGAGGCAGCAGUGGGGAAUAUUGGACAAUGGGCGCAAGCCUGAUCCAGCCAUACCGCGUGGGCGAAGAAGGCCUUCGGGUUGUAAAGCCCUUUUGUUGGGAAAGAAAAGCAGCAGGUUAAUACCCCGCUGUUCUGACGGUACCCAAAGAAUAAGCACCGGCUAACUUCGUG